rnacentral:lncRNA from 10 species
AAACCCUGGCAUGUGUGCCUCUUUCCUGAGGGAUCGUCCAUAAAUAUCACCAGAUUAUCUAAAGGUUGGGAAAGGAUCCAUGAACCAAAAUAGGGCAAGAGCCACUGGUCAAGAUGCUUCCCCUCUGCAAUUGCAAAAGUGGAGUGGAUUGUGUGGUGAGAUGAGGAAGUUUCAUUCUUCUCGUUUGUUUUCUCCCAGUACGAGUAUGCGUUGAGACAUUUGUACGUGCUGGUCAACCUUUGUGAGAAGCCGUAUCCGCUUCACAGGAUAAAAUUGUCCAUGGACCACGUGUGCCUUGGUCACUACUGAAGAGCUGCCUCCUGGAAGCUUUUCCAAGUGUGAGCGCCCCACC